AUCAAUUUGGUGCAAAAACAAAAAAAAAGCAUCAGGGCCUUCUGAAUGCUGCGAAGAUCUGCGUGCCACUAGGUUUUUUGACUUGACAGAGAAUCUACCACUAAAAAACAUUUUCAGGACUUUACAAAGACAUUUAAUAGAUGUUUGCCAGAUGAUAAUGUCUCAAGAUUUUACAGUAUUUGUUUUCUAAUGACUCUUCUGUUUUGGGGAGACUCUCCUUUUUCAGUGGUCUGUUGUUUAAAAAAAAGAAAAGAAAUGGGACCAAAAGACCUGGUCUCGUAUAUAAAUUUGUCUCAUGCACUGGACUAGCCUACACUGGUAGAAGCCUUUAUUCUAUUGCACUGGACAGCGCUAUCAUGGAUCUUUAAAUCCUAGAUUUGAUGAUUCAUUUCAAUCCAGUUUUGAGCCAUAUUUAGUCCACUGAAUUCCAAUAGCACUGAAAUAGAUGAGUUGUAAUAAAAGAAGAAGAAAAAAAAACUAUUUGAUAUUUGCUUUUGCUAUAGAUGCCCGAUACUGUGUACUAUUUUAUGCACUCUCUUCCUCAGGACAGGAUUGGAGUGCCAUAUGUGCAUGAUGAUUGUCACAAUUUGUACAGGCCUGUUAACCAGUUUACUGUGACGAGCCAGCACACAUGUUAGGGAUCAGACAUGGUAGAUGUCCUUGGACCUCACUCAGAGCUGAACGGAACAAGUUCGGUCACUUUUUUUAAAAAUCCAACCGGAGACUCUUUGUAUCAAACUGGAAGGUCUACAAGUUUUAAUGAUUUUUAUUCUAUUUCAAUCCAAGCCGUUUGAAUUCACUUGUGUUACAUUUCUUACAUUGUUGUUGAUGUUCAAUUAGCUUUUCACGGAGUUUGUUUGAGUUGACAACGGUCGGCUCCGUCUUCUGUAACUCAUGCUUUGUAUUUACCCUGUAACAUUAACUCUGACCCUUCUUUAUCUUGAUUCAUCUGUAUUAACUAGCAUUAGGCUACAAACCGAUUUCAGUUUAAAUCAUAGAUAAUACACAUGGAUUAGAACAGAUUUAUUUUGUUGUUAGCUGUUUUUUGGUGGGCUGCUCGUAGUGCAUUGAAGAGCUUUAAAUACAGUGGCUAUGACACUUUGUGCUGUUCUGACCUUUCUUUGUGUUCGACUUUGCAGAAACGAGCAUUUACACAUUUACAUGACAGAGAAUGAAGGAUUGAUUUCUACGUUUGUUGUUUUGACCUUUCGUGUCUGAACCGACUGCACUUGACUGAUGCUCCCGUCACGUCACACGGACCGACUUUAUGGAUGUUCAUCAGUUUUAUUUUUGGAUCCCGGUCUGCAGAGCUGUACAGGGCAGUAAUGCUUUUAACCACUUAGCGGUGCACAGACGUCCUGUGACAGCAGCAAACACACAAAUGAUUUCCUCCAUCAUGCUCUCAAUCAGACUCUCGUCCGAGCUCAAUUUCUCUCUUCAACCCCUUUUUAGAAGAGCAACCCAAUUCCCU
ensembl:lncRNA